GUAGGUGGCAAGCGUUGUCCGGAAUUAUUGGGCGUAAAGCGCGCGCAGGCGGUUCUUUUAAGUCUGAUGUGAAAGCCCACGGGCUCAACCGUGGAGGGUCAUUGGAAACUGGAGAACUUGAGUACAGAAGAGGAAAGCGGAAUUCCACGUGUAGCGGUGAAAUGCGUAGAGAUGUGGAGGAACACCAGUGGCGAAGGCGGCUUUCUGGUCUGUAACUGACGCUGAGGCGCGAAAGCGUGGGGAGCAAACAGGAUUAGAUACCCUGGUAGUCCACGCCGUAAACGAUGAGUGCUAAGUGUUAGGGGGUUUCCGCCCCUUAGUGCUGCAGCUAACGCAUUAAGCACUCCGCCUGGGGAGUACGGCCGCAAGGCUG
rnacentral:rRNA from 1 species